UCCCGUAUCUGGCUCGCCACGGUUCCGUUUCCUGCUUCCGUCGAGUCGGGUUGCUCGGGAUUGCAGCCUGAAUGGGAGGUAAAUUUCUCCCAAAGCUAAAUACCGGCGAGAGACCGAUAGCGAACAAGUACCGUGAGGGAAAGAUGCAAAGAACUUUGAAAAGAGAGUUAAAAAGUGCCUGAACUUGUUGGGGGGAAAGCGUUUGCACCCAGUGUGCGUUUCGCGGCUCAGCCCCUUUGGGGUGCAUUUCGCGCAUCGCGGUCAGGGUGGGUUUGCCGCCGCGUUUGCGGUUGCCGCCGAGGCCUUUUAGGCAGCGCGGCAGCUUUGCGCGGGCGUGGACCGAGGCGCGCUCCCUUGGGCUUUCGGACGAGCGUUUGCGGCGGGCUCCAAGCUCUUGUACUCGCUGCGCGCGGAUCCCCGUGUCCUUUGUAGCGUGACCCUGACGAAAUGGUUGCAACCGACCCGUCUAGAAACACGGACCAAGGAGUCUGACGAAUGCGCGAGCCUCUGGGUGGCAAGCCCUGAGGCGCAAUGAAAGUGACUGAUUUUCAGAAUCUACCGACCGUGAUCUCCUGUGAGUGGUUUGAGUACGAGUGCGUUCGUCGGGACCCGAAAGAUGGUGAACUAUGCCUGAGUAGGGUGAAGCCUGAAGAAAUUCAGGUGGAGGCUCGUAGCGAUACUGACGUGCAAAUCGUUCGUCGAACUUGGGUAUAGGGGCGAAAGACUAAUCGAACCAUCUAGUAGCUGGUUCCCUCCGAAGUUUCCCUCAGGAUAGCUGGAUCUCAUUGCAGUUUUGU
rnacentral:rRNA from 1 species